GAGCGGCGGUGAUAGCCGACACGAGGGAGCGCGCGGCGCCGGUGUAGGCGAGCCCCACCUAACCUGUAACUUCGAAUCCACCUCGCGCGAGCGAGCGGCGGCGAUAGCCGGCGCGAGGGAGCGCGCAACGCUGGCGGCGGCGACCCCCACCUAACCUGUAGAUUCGAAUCCGCCUCGAGCUCUGGAUUUGAUCCGCUUCGUCACGAUGGAGGCCAGCGAUUCCCGGUUAGAUCAUCACUUCUGGAUUCCACCCCUUAAUAAGCUUUGGAUCUCUCACUGCUUCUUCUUCUUCUUUGAUUCCCCCAAAUGUUUGUUGUUUGAAUCAUCGACGGCAAAUCUGCAAGUUGCAUUGUGAGUUUUGCGUGCAGUUAGCUGGUUUGCGUCCCUGUUAGUUGGUAAUGUGUAUAAAAUAUGAGCUUAGAUGUUGGAGACAACAUUCAGUUAGCUCUGUGGGCUUGUGUAGUUUGAGGUAGAAAACGUGCUUUGCUUGUGCUUGAGUUUUGCGUGCAGUUAGUUGGUUGCGUCCCUGUCAGUUUGCUAAUGUGUAUAGAAAUCUGAAGUUAGCUGUUGGAGAAAGCAUUCAGUUAGCUCUAUGGGCUUCUGGUUGCAUUUGCGCAGUUAACUAUGAAAACUUUUCUUCACUACUUGUAGUAAAAAAAAAUGGCACCUGAUGAAGACGAUGAUGACCUGACUAGCUGGACUGUACGUGUCGACACGCAAAACUCCCCCGUGUAGAAUGACCCAGUUUAUGUUUUAAAACCAGUGGUGGUGCAAACUGCAAGGUAUCCACCAUAGGCGCCAAUGAAUGAAAGAGUUACUGGACGCAAUUGCGAACCUGUGCCGCGCCUGAAGAACCGUCAACACCAAUCAAGUGUCCUGGAGACAAUCAAUGAGGUGGAUGAUGGACCUGCACAAGAUGAUGAUGAACACAUGGAUGCUGCCGAUGAAAGUGAUGAUAACAUUGAAUGCUGGACUAAGAUUGUUCCUCAAGAUGACUACGAGCGAGAACUCGAGCAAGUGUUUGUUCUAAGGCCUAAAACACCAUGUCCGCGAUAUCCACAAGCUCAAGAAGACCAGUCUGGUUAGAGCGAUGAUAAGGCAGGUGCAGAUACUUGUACAGAUAACUGUGAGAAAGCUAGGACUGCACAUUGUUCUGCCGCCCAAAAAAAGAUAACAAAAAUGAUGUUCUACUAACAUCAGCAAUUAGGUGUUCCA